UUCUUCCUUGUCUGGGGGAGCUGAGUGUUCAAUGAUCAAUUAGUGAGACCACUCCUGCUGGCACCCAUAGAUUUUAAAAUUCAUCGCACCCGCGCCCAGUGCUGCGAGUGCAAUUUUUGGAAAG